rnacentral:rRNA from 1 species
AGCGAACGCUGGCGGCAGGCCUAACACAUGCAAGUCGAACGAACUCUUCGGAGUUAGUGGCGGACGGGUGAGUAACACGUGGGAACGUGCCUUUAGGUUCGGAAUAACUCAGGGAAACUUGUGCUAAUACCGAAUGUGCCCUUCGGGGGAAAGAUUUAUCGCCUUUAGAGCGGCCCGCGUCUGAUUAGCUAGUUGGUGAGGUAAAGGCUCACCAAGGCGACGAUCAGUAGCUGGUCUGAGAGGAUGAUCAGCCACAUUGGGACUGAGACACGGCCCAAACUCCUACGGGAGGCAGCAGUGGGGAAUCUUGCGCAAUGGGAGAAAGCCUGACGCAGCCAUGCCGCGUGAAUGAUGAAGGUCUUAGGAUUGUAAAAUUCUUUAACCGGGGACGAUAAUGACGGUACCCGGAGAAGAAGCCCCGGCUAACUUCGUG